GGGAUAGCUUGCUAUUCAGAUGGCGACCGGCGCACGGGUGAGUAACGCGUAUCCAACCUUCCUGCCAGUAGGGAACAGCCCGGCGAAAGUCGGAUUAAUGCCCUAUGUUCUUCAAUGCGGACAUCUAAGUUGAAGGAAAGAUUCAUCGCUGGCAGAUGGGGAUGCGUCCGAUUAGCUUGCCGGCGGGGUAACGGCCCACCGGGGCGACGAUCGGUAGGGGUUCUGAGAGGAAGGUCCCCCACACUGGUACUGAGACACGGACCAGACUCCUACGGGAGGCAGCAGUGAGGAAUAUUGGUCAAUGGGCGUAAGCCUGAACCAGCCAAGUAGCGUGCAGGAACCGACGGCCCUACGGGUUGUAAACUGCUUUUAUGCGGGGAUAAAGUGCGGCACGUGUGCCGCUUUGCAGGUACCGCAUGAAUAAGGACCGGCUAAUUCCGUGCCAGCAGCUGC
rnacentral:rRNA from 1 species